UGGGGAAUAUUGGACAAUGGGCGAAAGCCUGAUCCAGCAAUGCCGCGUGAGUGAUGAAGGCCUUAGGGUCGUAAAGCUCUUUUACCCGGGAUGAUAAUGACAGUACCGGGAGAAUAAGCCCCGGCUAACUCCGUGCCAGCAGCCGCGGUAAUACGGAGGGGGCUAGCGUUGUUCGGAAUUACUGGGCGUAAAGCGCACGUAGGCGGUUAUUCAAGUCAGAGGUGAAAGCCCGGGGCUCAACCCCGGAACGGCCUUUGAAACUAGAUGACUAGAAUCUUGGAGAGGCGAGUGGAAUUCCGAGUGUAGAGGUGAAAUUCGUAGAUAUUCGGAAGAACACCAGUGGCGAAGGCGACUCGCUGGACAAGUAUUGACGCUGAGGUGCGAAAGCGUGGGGAGCAAACAGGAUUAGAUACCCGUGUAGUCC
rnacentral:rRNA from 1 species